ACGCUGGCGGCGUGCCUAACACAUGCAAGUCGAGCGAGGAGAUUCCUUCGGGAUGAUCCUAGCGACGGACGGGUGAGUAACACGUGGGCAACCUGCCUCAUAGAGAGGAAUAGCCUUCCGAAAGGGAGAUUAAUACCUCAUAACAUUGCAGUUUCGCAUGAAACAGCAAUUAAAGGAGCAAUCCGCUAUGAGAUGGGCCCGCGGCGCAUUAGCUAGUUGGUGAGGUAACGGCUCACCAAGGCGACGAUGCGUAGCCGACCUGAGAGGGUGAUCGGCCACAUUGGGACUGAGACACGGCCCAGACUCCUACGGGAGGCAGCAGUGGGGAAUAUUGCACAAUGGGGGAAACCCUGAUGCAGCCAACGCCGCGUGAGUGAUGACGGCCUUCGGGUUGUAAAGCUCUGUCUUCAGGGACGAUAAUGACGGUACCUGAGGAGGAAGCCACGGCUAACUACGUGCCAGCAGCAGC
rnacentral:rRNA from 1 species